rnacentral:rRNA from 1 species
UACGGAAGGGGCAAGCGUUGUUCGGAAUCAUUGGGCGUAAAGGGCGCGUAGGCGGCCCGCUAAGUCGAACGUGAAAUCCCCGAGCUCAACUCGGGAACUGCGUCCGAUACUGGCGGGCUUGAAUCCGGGAGAGGGAUGCGGAAUUCCAGGUGUAGCGGUGAAAUGCGUAGAUAUCUGGAGGAACACCGGUGGCGAAGGCGGCAUCCUGGACCGGCAUUGACGCUGAGGCGCGAAAGCUAGGGGAGCAAACGGGG